AGGACGAACGCUGGCGGCGUGCUUAACACAUGCAAGUCGAGCGGAAAGGCCCUUCGGGGUACUCGAGCGGCGAACGGGUGAGUAACACGUGAGUAAUCUGCCCCUAGCUCUGGGAUAGCUCCGGGAAACCGGGAUUAAUACCAGAUACGACCACUUUAGACAUCUGUUGUGGUGGAAAGAAUUUUGGCUAGGGAUGAGCUCGCGGCCUAUCAGCUUGUUGGUGAGGUAACGGCUCACCAAGGCGACGACGGGUAGCCGGCCUGAGAGGGCGACCGGCCACACUGGGACUGAGACACGGCCCAGACUCCUACGGGAGGCAGCAGUGGGGAAUAUUGCGCAAUGGGCGAAAGCCUGACGCAGCGACGCCGCGUGGGGGAUGAAUGCCUUCGGGUUGUAAACCCCUUUCAGUUGGGACGAAGCUCCGCCGGUGAAUAGCCGGUUGGAGUGACGGUACCUUCAGAAGAAGCCCCGGCUAACUACGUGCCAGCAGCCGC
rnacentral:rRNA from 1 species